GGCGCCGUAGCCAAGCGGUCUAAGGCGGGGGCCUGCAAAGCCCCUAUCGUGGGUUCGAAUCCCACCGGCGCCU
rnacentral:tRNA from 1 species